rnacentral:rRNA from 1 species
UGGGGAAUAUUGCACAAUGGGCGCAAGCCUGAUGCAGCCAUGCCGCGUGUAUGAAGAAGGCCUUCGGGUUGUAAAGUACUUUCAGCGGGGAGGAAGGGAGUAAAGUUAAUACCUUUGCUCAUUGACGUUACCCGCAGAAGAAGCACCGGCUAACUCCGUGCCAGCAGCCGCGGUAAUACGGAGGGUGCAAGCGUUAAUCGGAAUUACUGGGCGUAAAGCGCACGCAGGCGGUUUGUUAAGUCAGAUGUGAAAUCCCCGGGCUCAACCUGGGAACUGCAUCUGAUACUGGCAAGCUAGAGUCUCGUAGAGGGGGGUAGAAUUCCAGGUGUAGCGGUGAAAUGCGUAGAGAUCUGGAAGAAUACCGGUGGCGAAGGCGGCCCCCUGGACGAAGACUGACGCUCAGGUGCGAAAGCGUGGGGAGCAAACAGG